AGGUGGUGCAAACAAGGCUCACUGCAGCCUUGACCUUCUGGCUCAAGGAAUCCUUCCCCGUCAGCGUCCCCGGUAGCUAGGACUACAGGUGCGCACCACCACACCCAGGAGUUCAAGGCUGCAGUGAGCCAUGAUCGUACCACUGCACUCCAGCCUGGGCAACACAGCGAGACCCUGACUCCACAAAUAAAUAAAUCAACAUCAUAUGAUCUGUACCAGGGUAUAGGCAGGUGCUAUGAUCCCCACUUUUCAUCCUCAACUCUAAGUUGAGUCAUACAUCAACCUCUAGUAAAAAGUGGCAUGCUCUCAGUCAAAGGGGUAAGCCCAAACCACGUGGAGAGAAUCUUAUCUCUUUUGAGAGCUAAUAUAAAAAGAAUUCCUCCUAGGCAUAAAAAUAUUGUGACAUCAGUUACUUAGGCUAAACAUGCCUAUUAUGCUAAGUGAGUUAUUAACAAUAAAUACUUUAACUCUGUGCCAUGUUACUUAUCAUAAUCUGAUUUAUAAUUUGUUUUAACCUUAGGUUAUAUAUACCUUGAAGCCAUUUAUAUUUUGGUAUACUUGUAAUAAUUACUA
ensembl:lncRNA novel transcript